rnacentral:lncRNA from 1 species
AUUCUAUCUAUAAGGGAGAUUCCUAGUAAGGAAAUUCCCUCUAUCAAUGGAAGUUAGCUAAGUUUUCUGCACCCUAUAGUCUUGGAGAGUUGUCUGAAGUAAUGAAAGGUUAAGUGAUUUCUGUCAGAGGUAGAACUGGUACCUUGGCCUUCCUGAUUUCCCAAUUUUGUGGACAGAUCUGGAUGCACUACCAUCAGGUUGGCUCUUUGAAAAUAUGAUUAGAAUAUUUGUUAGAUUAUAAUUAUCAUUAUGAUAAUGGUAACUUUGAUGAUUGCUAUAAUGGUGAUAUUGAUAAUACUUAUAAAGUAAAUAUCCCAACUACCAAGCCAAGGCUGAUCAGGAACAAAGCUUAUUCAGGCCACUGAAAAAGAAUAUUAAAUUUCUAAAAACUUAACAGGAACUUCACAGGACAUGCUAUAUAAAUGCAGGUUCUAAUUAUUUUUUUCUUGAGGAACCUAGUCUCUGGGGUGAUGGGCUCCCUGGAGAAUUUCUGUCCAUGAAUGUCAAUUUACAUACAGAGCUCACUAAUAUAAGACCAAAGAUACCAUAGCUAGGUCAAAACCCUAACCUCAGGAAUCUAUUUUUCUUGAUGGUUCUGGGUGUCUGAUUAAUUUGAAUAGCGAUAGCGAUAGAAGUAGAAAAAUAUUAGCAUAUUCAUUCAACAUAGGAACCAAGGGACCCCCUAAAAUUCUUAGGCCUAAGUAGGGCAAGUAGAUUAAUUCUAUCUUUCUUCAGUGUAUAUAUUUAGUUCUAAGUUUCAAGUAGCUGUGGUAACAGAAAGGAAAAUAUAUUCUACUACUUCCUGUUUUUUAUAUUGUAGAAGUCUGGCUAUGCCAAAUAUAACCACAUCUUCUUUAUUCUAUAUCAUAUUCCCUUUCCCCAAUUUUAAGAAAGAAACAUAAAAUGUUUCUUCUGAUUACUGCAUGUCCAACAAUAUCAAUCCUAACCAUAUGAAGGUCGACUACUACUACUGGUGCAACCUCAAGAUCAUUUUUACAUUUCUUUAUAUAUUCUUACCCUGUGCCUCUACUCAGAAAGCCAUCUCUUAUAAAAGAGAAUAAAAAUGAAAGAUGAAAAAAAUAA